rnacentral:rRNA from 1 species
GACGAACGCUGGCGGCGUGCUUAACACAUGCAAGUCGAACGGAGAGGCCUGCUUUCCCUUGUGGAUUGCGGGUACUCGAGUGGCGAACGGGUGAGUAACACGUGAGUGAUCUGCCCCCAACUUGGGUAUAAGCCUGGGAAACUGGGUCUAAUUCCCGAUAGGACUGCAGGGUGGUGCCUGUGAUGGAAAACGAUUUUCUAGUGGUUGGGGAUGAGCUCGCGGCCUAUCAGCUUGUUGGUGGGGUAAUGGCCUACCAAGGCGGCGACGGGUAGCCGGCCUGAGAGGGUGGACGGCCACAUUGGGACUGAGAUACGGCCCAGACUCCUACGGGAGGCAGCAGUGGGGAAUAUUGCACAAUGGGCGGAAGCCUGAUGCAGCGACGCCGCGUGGGGGAUGACGGCCUUCGGGUUGUAAACUCCUUUCGACCGCGAGGAAGCCACCUGGUUGGAAGGGUGGUGACGGUAGUGGUAGAAGAAGCACCGGCUAACUACGUG